CGUAGGUAACCUGCCUGGUAGCGGGGGAGUAACUAUUGGAAACGAUAGCUAAUACCGCAUAAAAUUGAUUACUGCAUGAUAGUCAAUUAAAAGGUGCAAUUGCAUCACUACCAGAUGGACCUGCGUUGUAUUAGCUAGUUGGUGAGGUAAAGGCUCACCAAGGCAACGAUACAUAGCCGACCUGAGAGGGUGAUCGGCCACACUGGGACUGAGACACGGCCCAG
rnacentral:rRNA from 1 species